GGUAGAAUUCCAGGUGUAGCGGUGAAAUGCGUAGAGAUCUGGAGGAAUACCGAUGGCGAAGGCAGCCAUCUGGCCUAAUACUGACACUGAGGUGCGAAAGCAUGGGGAGCAAACAGGAUUAGAUACCCUGGUAGUCCAUGCCGUAAACGAUGUCUACUAGCCGUUGGGGCCUUUGAGGCUUUAGUGGCGCAGCUAACGCGAUAAGUAGACCGCCUGGGGAGUACGGUCGCAAGACUAAAACUCAAAUGAAUUGACGGGGGCCCGCACAAGCGGUGGAGCAUGUGGUUUAAUUCGAUGCAACGCGAAGAACCUUACCUGGCCUUGACAUACAGAGAACUUUCCAGAGAUGGAUUGGUGCCUUCGGGAACUCUGAUACAGGUGCUGCAUGGCUGUCGUCAGCUCGUGUCGUGAGAUGUUGGGUUAAGUCCCGCAACGAGCGCAACCCUUUUCCUUAUUUGCCAGCACUUUGGGUGGGAACUUUAAGGAUACUGCCAGUGACAAACUGGAGGAAGGCGGGGACGACGUCAAGUCAUCAUGGCCCUUACGGCCAGGGC
rnacentral:rRNA from 1 species